GUCCUAGCUGUAAACGAUGCACAUUAGACGUGAUGGGUAUCGACCCCCUUCGUGUCGACGCUAACGCAUUAAAUGUGCCGCCUGGGGAGUACGGCCGCAAGGUUGAAACUCAAAGGAAUUGACGGGGGCCCCGCACAAGCGGUGGAGCAUGUGGUUUAAUUCGACGCAACGCGAAGAACCUUACCUAGGCUUGAACUGCUAGAAGUAGUCCCUAUGAAAGUGGGGGCGGACUGUUAAGUCAGUAACUAGCAGAGGUGCUGCAUGGCUGUCGU
rnacentral:rRNA from 1 species